GCAAACUUGGUCAUUUAGAGGAAGUAAAAGUCGUAACAAGGUUUCCGUAGGUGAACCUGCGGAAGGAUCACUAACAAAUCCAUCUUUUGAUGACCCUACCUUGUGUGCACCUGUAAAAUAAUUGCCCUUUGGAGUAAAGGUUUGGACAGAGGGUGUGGCCUUUUACGGCCCAGCCGCCAAUCUUUUUCCAAAGGGUUUUUUAACAAACGUCUUUUGAACAAUAAAAAUACUUAAACCAAUAAAAUACAACUUUCAACAACGGAUCUCUUGGCUCUCGCAUCAAUGAAGAACGCAGC
rnacentral:misc_RNA from 1 species